GAUGAACGCUGGCGGCGUGCCUAAUACAUGCAAGUCGAGCGAACAGAUAAGGAGCUUGCUCCUUUGACGUUAGCGGCGGACGGGUGAGUAACACGUGGGUAACCUACCUAUAAGACUGGGAUAACUUCGGGAAACCGGAGCUAAUACCGGAUAAUAUUUCGAACCGCAUGGUUCGAUAGUGAAAGAUGGUUUUUCUAUCACUUAUAGAUGGACCCGCGCCGUAUUAGCUAGUUGGUAAGGUAACGGCUUACCAAGGCGACGAUACGUAGCCGACCUGAGAGGGUGAUCGCCCACACUGGAACUGAGACACGGUCCAGACUCCUACGGGAGGCAGCAGUAGGGAAUCUUCAGCAAUGGGCGAAAGCCUGACGGAGCAACGCCGCGUGAGUGAUGAAGGUCUUCGGAUCGUAAAACUCUGUUAUUAGGGAAGAACAUACGUGUAAGUAACUGUGCACGUCUUGACGGUACCUAAUCAGAAAGCCACGGCUAACUACGUG
rnacentral:rRNA from 1 species